rnacentral:misc_RNA from 1 species
GAUGAAGAACGUAGCGAAAUGCGAUAAGUAAUGCGAAUUGCAGAAUUCAGUGAAUCAUCGAAUCUUUGAACGCACAUUGCGCCCCCUGGUAUUCCGGGGGGCAUGCCUGUCCGAGCGUCAUUGCUGCCCUCAAGCACGGCUUGUGUGUUGGGCCCCGUCCUCCGAUCCCGGGGGACGGGCCCGAAAGGCAGCGGCGGCACCGCGUCCGGUCCUCGAGCGUAUGGGGCUUUGUCACCCGCUCUGUAGGCCCGGCCGGCGCUUGCCGAUCAACCCAAAUUUUUAUCCAGGUUGACCUCGGAUCAGGUAGGGAUACCCGCUGAACUUAAGCAUAUCAAUAAGCGGAGGA